AUUGAACGCUGGCGGCAUGCUUUACACAUGCAAGUCGAACGGUAACAGGUUAAGCUGACGAGUGGCGAACGGGUGAGUAUGCAUCGGAACGUGCCCGGUCGUGGGGGAUAACACUUCGAAAGAAGUGCUAAUACCGCAUACGAUCUGAGGAUGAAAGCGGGGGACCGUAAGGCCUCGCGCGAUCGAAGCGGCCGAAGUCAGAUUAGGUAGUUGGUGGGGUAAAGGCCUACCAAGCCGACGAUCUGUAGCUGGUCUGAGAGGACGACCAGCCACACUGGGACUGAGACACGGCCCAGACUCCUACGGGAGGCAGCAGUGGGGAAUUUUGGACAAUGGGCGCAAGCCUGAUCCAGCAAUGCCGCGUGCAGGAAGAAGGCCUUCGGGUUGUAAACUGCUUUUGUACGGAGCGAAAAGGCUCUCUCUAAUACAGGGGGCUGAUGACGGUACCGUAAGAAUAAGCACCGGCUAACUACGUGCCAGCCGCCGCGGUAA
rnacentral:rRNA from 1 species